UACGGGGGGGGGCAAGCGUUGUUCGGAAUCAUUGGGCGUAAAGCGCGUGUAGGCGGUUAGGUAAGUCAAUUGUGAAAUCCCUGGGCUCAACCGAGGAAGUGCAGUCGAAACUACCUGACUGGAAGACGGUAGAGGGAGGUGGAAUUCCUAGUGUAGAGGUGAAAUUCGUAGAUAUUAGGAGGAAUACCUGUGGCGAAGGCGGCCUCCUGGGCCGUUCUUGACGCUGAGACGCGAAAGCGUGGGGAGCAAACAGG
rnacentral:rRNA from 1 species